CCCGCUGAACUUAAGCAUAUUACUAAGCGGAGGAAAAGAAAUUAACUAAGAUUGCCUUAGUAAGGGCGACUGAACCGGCAAAAGCUCGAAAUUAAAAUCGGUAAUUCAAUGAAUUCCCGAAUUGUAAUCAGGGUGCCCUAAAUACGGCAGGUCACUUAAGAGUCUUGAAAAGCUCGCCAAAGAGGGUGAAAGCCCCGUACAGUGAUCGACCGAACAAGGGAACUCGAACAAGAGUCGUGUUGCUUGGAACUGCAGCACUAAGUGGGAGAUAUGAUUCUUCCAAAGCUAAAUAUGGAUGGGAGACCGAUAGAGUACAAGUACUGUGAAGGAAAGGUGAAAAGGACUUUGAAAAGAGAGUGAAAAGAUCUGAAAUCGUUGAGAAGGAAGGGGUUAAAACUGAUCGAGGUUAUGAUGGCGCAACGCGGCCAAAAGUCGCAGAGCGUUUACCAAAGACCCUGGACAAAAUGAAGCUAGCUGGAUCAAAAAAGGCGCAAGCCGUGUAGAAUCUAGUUAGCUUCAGGGACUAAGGUGAUUUUGUCUAAAAGGUUUUAACCCACCCGUCUUGAAACACGG
rnacentral:rRNA from 1 species